rnacentral:rRNA from 1 species
CUAUGCGCCUUGCCAGCCGCUCAGGUGUGCCAGCAGCCGCGGUAAUACGGAGGAUGCGAGCGUUAUCCGGAUUUAUUGGGUUUAAAGGGUGCGUAGGCGGUCCGUUAAGUCAGCGGUAAAAUUGCGGGGCUCAACCCCGUCGAGCCGUUGAAACUGUCAGACUUGAGUUGGCGAGAAGUACGCGGAAUGCGCGGUGUAGCGGUGAAAUGCAUAGAUAUCGCGCAGAACUCCGAUUGCGAAGGCAGCGUACCGGCGCCACACUGACGCUGAGGCACGAAAGCGUGGGGAUCGAACAGG